UCCUUAAAGGAAAGUAGGCUGGAAGUGUGCUGUGUGAAACUGCUUCACUUCAUGUGGGUGCCUCAUGCAGCUCUGAAAAUGAUCACUAUCGUGCAUUAGAGAGAGGAUUAAAUUAUUCCCAUCUUUCUCUCCUCCCACACUGACUCCAGGCAGAGCCAGUCCUUCCUUUUCCAGUCCACGCACACAGACAGUGAAUAUCACCAGGUGAUCCAGCUCUGGAGUAGCCCAUGUGUUUUGACUUGCUGCUGGAGGAUUCAAGUGUCUGCUGAGACGCAAAGGAUUUGGGUCUUCCCAGUUCCAACCAUGAGGAAAGACCAGAUAUGCUGCAGUGGUUCUCUAGGCACAUCUGCUGCCAUGAGAUGCCUCAGCCAAGGACUGUGAGCCAAGAUAUGAGGGAAAUAGUUUAACCAGAUGUGUGCCCAUGUCUGCAACACAGAAUUUUAAGAUGCUGAAAUUUAAAAGCUUGCCAUCAUCUCCCCUGCCUCCCCAGCAGUAAGGGAAGAUUGAAAUCACUGAGAAUGGAAUCCAGGACAUUUUCUAGCUCUCCAAAUGCAGCGAGAACAUUUAUGGACUGACCUUCCACAGCUUCCUUCAAGCACUGGAAUUUCCAGGUGCAUGUUUUCAGAGCACAAGCAACCCCAGGAAAGCUGCUUUUCAAAAGGCAUUUCUGCUACAUACGUUACUGAAGUAUUUCAUUUCCCCUCCAUGUGAUCAGCUACGUGCAUUGAGAGAAAGUAAAUCCAGACUUCAAAGUAUCUGACCGGAGGCAGGCAGUUGCUUCUCCAUCAGUUCAAGGAAGAAGUCAAAGGACAAACUGGCAAGGUCUCCCGGACAAGGUAAAACCAUUAGCAGAAACCUAAAUGAACUGAUUCUCAGACCUUAAAAAUAAACUGCAUUGCUCACAGUACAAGUUACCUUUGCACCAAAGGGCAAAAAUACCACUCACCCACACUAGGGAUUCUUUAAGAAUUUAAAUCACAUUCAUUAGAAACUAAAUAAACAUAACACAGUACUCUUCUCUAAGCAGAGAAAGGAUGAAGAUCUGAAACCAUUCCUAAUCUUAAGCUCUGUAGUGCACCUAGGAGGAGAACUCCUUGAAUGAACCUGCAAAAGCACAGGUCUUCAUUCAUGAGGAGAGGAAUGAAAAUCCUGCUUCAUAACGUAGCAAGUGUUUAAAUAAACUUGUUCAGAUGAAGAUAUCUCCUCUCAGGGGAAAAUAUAAGACUAUAAGAAAGGUCAUGGAAAUCAUUUCAAAACUGGAAUGUUAAGAGAGCUUCGUUUCAGCCCUUCACUACGUUCUUGCAACUGAAGAAAUGCUAACUGCCUAGAGCACUCAGUUGGUCAGCAGAAACUCCUUUUAAACAUGAAUAUAGAAGGAAAAAAAAAUCCCUGGACAGUGCUGUUUUAAAAGAAUCUUAUGGAUUCCUGUGAGUUUCAAAACAAACAAACAAAACAUGAUGCUGAGGCAAUAUCUGGAGCAAGCAGUCUUUUAGCAUUCAGACUGUAACAGAAAUAUUUUAAAAUGCACUCUUAGAUAUGAGAACUCCCAUGGCCUACAGAGGUGAAUAAUAUUGGAGGCUACUGAAGUUUAUUUUUCUUGAAGUUUUCACUUCAAAUAAAGCUUUGUUUUAAAAUGUAUAAGGGCAACUGUUAGUGCAUUGAGGUCCUGGUUAUUAGCCAGCUAGAGCCCGUGAAUUAUGUUUAGUGAGAAGUUUAUUGGCUCAGUAAACACCAUUCCAGUUCCCCUCACCCCUGAACUGUGGAAGCCAAACCAAGAGAUAUUCAAUGCCAUGUUACUGCUGGAACCAGAGCAGCCAUUAUCUGAUUACAGGCAUUUUAUUUUUUGUGAAAAAUUUGCUAUUGCAUCAUUUAAUUCAAGGAAGUCUUUAAAUUUACCAGGGCAACACACAGAAAGUAAGAAACUGUUUGCUCUUGCUUACCACCAUCUGGAGCAGGAAUAUUUGUUUCCAUCUCAUAGCUUUCUUAGUGAAGGCACUACAGGAAAUGCAAUCCCUCAAAUGCUUGGUAAGACAGAAGUCUGGCAGGGAACUUCAAACUAACAAGAUUAAAGUAGACAACCACAGGACCUUUCUGAAAAACCAUCCUAUGGACCCAGGGCAGAGUAUGGGGUGGUAAGAAGUUAUAUUCAUUUAAUCUCACUAUAACUUUGUCUCAAGGGAGACACAAAAAAAGUGGAUCCACUCUGUGCAAGUGAAUGAUGUUGCUCUUUGUAAGAUAAACAAUCCAGAACAGCUUACAACAUCACACCUUAAUCAGAAAUCUGGCUACAGCUCAGGUAAGAUGCACAUGCAAGCCCAAAAACAGAACUAGGGCAGAUUCAUAUGACAUUAGCACUGUCUUGUUUUACUCUUGUUGUGGGAAGCACCAGGGACCAAAACAGAAGACAAGCAUCUCCAGAAUUAGCAAGUCUGACAUGUAGCUGUGCAAAACCAGAGGCAGCUUCUGUUUGUGUGGCUGUCUUUGUCCUGGGCACAAAGCUGUCCUAUCCGGUUACCUUCCACUGCCAUGAGCUAAAGACAUGCAUACUGAGAAUAGGCAAUGAUUAGUCAGUGUGCAGUAACUUGUUAGUGUGCUUGUUGUUCCAGUUCCCUGGAAUACCUAACAUAUACCAUAAGACUACACAGGGAUUGUGUCAGUCCUUGAGGCAAGGAAAGUUAAUUUAGUUGGAAUAAUAAGGAUGGAAAAGAGAGUGCUAUGAUAACAGUAGCCUGUUCUGGUAGCAAAGUAAACUGGAACACAAGGAACUUAGGUUCUCUUCCUAGUCCUUUCCAUCUGUCACACAACCUUGGCUUCAUAAUGCAGCUCUUCAUGGGUCUGUUUUCUUUCUCACUUUCUGCCUUUCCUGAUCUCUUUCAGGGAAGAGAUGGUGUUGUACAGAAGCUACUGAAAGCUUCAGGGCUUUGCAGUCCCUAAACUGAACAGCACUUUUGAGUAAAGUCUUUGUUAUAGACCAGUUUAUGUACCACCAACUACAAAAUCUCAUAUUCUUAUGUAAAUGGCUCUUCUGAUGCCCUCAGAAUCAUAAUGCCAGAAUCUGUCCAUCUGAGAAGGAAGGACCUGUGCAAUAUAGAUCUUUAAUGUCCAGGCAAUGCCACAAGGACAUGCCAAGGCCAUAUUAUCACAUCCAUAAUGAAGCACCUCUAGGGAGAAGGCACAGUUAAAAUCUUUCCACCCCAGUAGUGGUGAAAGACAAGAUACCCUUCUCUUUAAACUUAACCCUCUCCCUUCCAAAGAAUGCCCGGAAUUUCUACUAUUUCCUAGCAGAGACUGGAAGGCAACGACUUGGCAUAGGGCAAGACAGAUAAGAGCAGUUGUCUUCGUAGAUUUUAACUCCGCUUAAUUGCUUAGGGCAUGUGAUGUUUAGAGAAAAACACAUGCACAUCUGUCAGGGACUUCAAAUCACUAGUAUAAUUCCAAGAAAACAAAGUCUAGUUUACAUGUGGCUGCAGUAUAUAAAACACAUCUGUAAAACUACAGUAUAAUUCAGCUGCUGCAGUUUUAAUUUACAAUGCAAUGAUACUGUUUUCCCUCUCAAAGACUGCCAUUUAGGAUCACUACAGUAUUGAAUAAAGUCUUAGCCGUCUUCUGAGAGACAUGGUUAAGAUUUAUUGCUGUUGGAUGCCUCUCUAAGCAAGCCACAUUUAAACACCCUGUUUUGCAAAAGCGUUCAUAUUAUCUUGCAUCUGAAUUCAAGUCCUUUUCCCAGUUUAAAAGCUGGGUUGGGACCAUUUGCUUACAUUUGGAGUUCUUUUCCAAAACUAAUGGUAUGUGGGAUUGAGUUGUAGAUAUAUGACAACUGGAUAAACUGCUAUUAUCUACUUUGCAUCAUGCACGUACCAUCUAUAGUUUUCCUCCUAAGGUUUGUUCAAAUGUACAACCCACUUCUACAGCAGUUGCACAUUCAGCAUGCUAACUAUAUUAUUCUUGGCCAUCCUGUUAUACUCCCAGUAUAAGUUAAAUGCACAGUAGAUGUGACCAUGAUGGAUUCCCAACAGUUUCUAGAUGGCUACAGAUGAUAGCUGGGCAAGGGUGGAAGUUUUGAUAUGUAGUCAUGAAGCUGAGAGCUUUUCUAUUCAAAUAGGGUGCUGGCUGGCACUAUCUCUGUCAUUUAUCUGGUGAAACUAGAUUACCAAAAUGUACUAUGCUUAGGGCUACAUCAGACUGCCACUUGGAAGCUCCAGUUAAUACUACAUACAGCUGCCAGAUUGCUUAGCUAAAUUUCACAUGGAGAUCACACGGAACGACUGUGAUGAUGUACUGUUUUUUUUUCACAUUGCCAUUCAAGGAGCUAUAUUUGCAUUAUUAAUACCUUGUAUGACUUGAGUGAUGGCUGACAGGCAGCUGUUAGCAGGAUCCUAACCCUGCAGUGGACAAUUUUAAGUCUCUCUGAUCUGCAAGUUUGGGUGGUGCAAUAUCUGCUUAGGAUUCUCACACAGAGCUAGGACCCUGCAUAAAUUUAUUUUGGUGCCUCUUGAAAGAAGAGAGAAAGAAAGGAAGAAAGAAUUAAUCCCAAAAGCAUAACAGAAAUUUGUGGAAAGCUAAACUUAUUGGCAGAACUGACCUGCAAGGUGCAGAACAUUAACAAAGAAUGAUUAUCUUCACAUUUUCUCAUAGUGUUCCCCUAGGCACAAAAUAUCCUAAUUUCUUAAUGCAAGCUACUUAGGAGCAACAAUCAAUGAAAUAAAUUAAGCACAAUAAAAACACUGGGUUUACGAUAAAAAUGUGGUUCUUACCUAUAGGCUUGUAAAGAAAACUCAGCACAGUCCUACGCUUCUCAUAGGUAAAUUCUGAAUUUUCAUCCCCUUGUUCACAAGCCAGGCAGAAUAAAAAUAUCCACCUACGUUAAACCGAAGGGAGCCACUCA